CGCCUGUUUAUCAAAAACAUGGUUUUUUGAUAAUAAUUUAAGAUUUGACCUGCCCACUGAUGAAUUUAAAGGGCCGCGGUAUUUUGACCGUGCAAAGGUAGCAUAAUCAUUAGUCUUUUAAUUGAAGACUGGAAUGAAUGGUUUGACGAGAUACUUUCUGUCUCAUAAUAAUUUAUUGAAUUUAACCUUUGAGUUAAAAGGCUUAAAUUUGGUUAGAGGACGAGAAGACCCUAUAGAGCUUUAUAUAAUUUUUAUUAAUUUAUUUUUGGUAAUUAUUUUAUUUUAGUUGAAGUUAUAUUUUAUUGGGGUGAUAUAAAGAAUUAAUAAACUCUUUAUUAAAUAUAAACAUUUAUUUAUGGGUAUUUGAUCCAAUAUUAUUGAUUAUAAGAUUAAGUUACCUUAGGGAUAACAGCGUAAUUUUUUUUAAGAGUUCUUAUCAACAAAAAAGAUUGCGACCUCGAUGUUGGAUUAAGAUAUAAUACUAGGUGUAGAAGUUUAGUAUUUUAGUCUGUUCGACUGUAGUUUCUUACGUGAUCUGAGUUCAGACCGG
rnacentral:rRNA from 1 species